GUCGGAACCCCGACACCAGCCCGCACACCGGACGAGCAGGGAAAGCAUCCGCGUCCUCCCCGAGGUAUUGUCCGCUCUGGGAUUGCCGCUUCGGGUCUGCGGGAGGUCGCCCAGGGCUGUGGCCCAAUGACAGUCCCGAGCCCUGCCGGCGCGGGGGUCCGCGGAGGUUGCCCCCUACCCUCACGGUUUUGUCCCGCAAAAGGGCCCUCGGUGAGAAGAGGUGUUUGCACUCCCCAUUUAAGGCACAGACCUUUCCGCUGAUUAUCCGAUGUGGGACUAAACUGGGAACCCCAUCCCACAACACAGCCCCCCCAGCGGGAAGGUCUGUGCGUGGCCGGGACCCUUCCUCUAGCGCCAUCUGAUGUGGGGUCGGAACCC
rnacentral:lncRNA from 1 species